rnacentral:rRNA from 1 species
AUUGUUUGNAGCUNNCAANUGUGACGGGCGAUCNGUAUAUAUAUAAAAAUUAUAUUCAAAUUAAUUAAUUUAUUAAUUUUACUUUUAAAUCCUAAAUUUUUUAAAUAUUUAAAUUUAAAAAAUUAUUUUUAAUUUAUAGUAACUCAUUUAAUCUUUAAUAUAAACUACAUAUUGAUCUGAAAUAUUUUUUUAUAAAAAAUUAUAAUAUAAUAAUUAUAUUAUAUUUUUUAACGAACAUACAUAAA